ensembl:lncRNA
GAGAGAGAGAGGUAAAGAAAGAGUGGGCUGCAAGUGAAAUAGCCCACCGUCAUCCUGGUCGCUGAGCUCACCGCGCGCGCACGCUCCGGAGGCUACUGCGGUAAAGAUGCGGCGACGCACGAUGCUUCGCCGUGAUGGAUAAUCGUAAUCGCAAUGGCUUUACGAAGAGGCCGUUCGUCAGAGGAUGAGGACGUCGUGGUGGUGAGUCUGAGGAUGGGGCCAUGAAGACCGAAGCAGGGUGUAACGUUUCGAUAACAGGAGAUGCUCUCCACGUAGGCCACUGAACAAAGAAAGGGAGAUUUGAGAUGCUGAAACUGCUGUGAAAACCCGCCGUAAACCCCCGGAGCAGGACAUCAGGGAGUUAACCCAAUGGACAUCUGGCUGGACGGACGACUCAUUCCACCAAUCAGACGACUGCUGGACAGCUUUUUCUCAGGACUCAUUGGUUGCGAGUGGUGACCCAGUAGCACAGUUGUGGCCAAUCGCUGCUGGGGAAGAGCAGAGAGGGAGGCCCUCAUCCAAUAAGAAUGUGAUGGACGUGUUGUCUGAGGCCUUCCCCUCCUCAGGCCAGCUGGCCUCUGACCCCGGGACUGGGUCUGGGAUGGUCCCAACGCUGACCUCUGAGACGGGGGUGGAGUCUGGGACGGUCCCAACGCUGACGCAGCUCCUUCAGGGAGAGCGACACCACUCCAGGACCACCCAAGACCAGGGUCUGUUGGACAAUUUCCACGACUUGAACAAAAUGAUUGGUCAGCGCUACAAGAGGACCAACGGCGUGUCUCGCGACCUGCUUCUCAAGACCUUAUACCUGGAGCCGGCCUACACUGAAAUCAGAAACAUAUCCAGGCCGACCAAUCACAGGCUCUCCCCUGGCCUCCCUUCGGCCAAUCGGCACGCUCAGAGCUCCAAGCGGCGUCUGUCGUACGACCACAACAGAAACAUCGCAGAGUAACGUGUCAGAGUGGGAGCCCAGCGUCGCUCCAGCCUGUCUGACUGCUGUACGGUGCACUCCCUGGGUGGAAGUGGACUUUUAGACUUUCAACAGGAUUCAGCCACAGCCUGAGGGAAUUGGACCCAAACACUUUUUUCUAAAGACCACCGGGGUCAAAGGUUCACCUCACACAUCCACUGUGUAUCACCUGCAACGUAUCCCUAGAUUUGACUAUUCGUCUAACCUAUUUUUGACCUUGUUGCAGUUCCUCGUCCCCUGACAGCCGUAUCACUUAGAUUUGCCACAAAUUGCAUCAGUUAUUGGCAAUUUAAAUGAAAUGUCAAUAAUAUCAGCAAAGCUUGAUGCAUGACACAAACACCGUUGAUUUCUUCUCGCUUUUUUUCAGAGAAUAAGUGUAUGGACCAGACUGUUUGGUAGGAAAGCACCUGGGCAGCUUUUUAGAGCGAUAGUUGAGAGCGUAGUUUCCAUUGACUGCUACUUGAAAUCUGCUUGUAAAGAAGCACUACAGUCCUCCCGUUGUUGUAGCGGUGAAAACGUAACUGGCGAAACUUUAAAUCACUAAUUUAAGUCACUGACUCUAGUUUAAGCUUUUGAAGUUGGAAACGUCUCCCGUUAAGUAAAACCUCAAAAGAUGACUUAAAAAGACUGGUUCUCAUCUCUUUUGAAACAUUUGUGAUCCCAAAGUGACCACAAAGCAGGUAGAGAGCAUUGAUGCUCUGGCUACCAGCUGAUCCAUCUGAACUAAAUCGCUUUUUCAUCAUCCCUUGACCAUCUCCAAAGUCCAAGGUUUUGAGAAAGAGUUGAUUAAUAUAAUCAGGAUAGGAUUAAUUUGUCCUGGUUUAUGUUAUUUACUUUUUUCCCACCAUGUGAAUUGACUGCUCGAAGAUGUGUGUUAACCUUCAAAUGUCAAACAUCAUUUUAUCCCAUGUGAUCAUCGAACUUGACCUUUUGUUGUUUGCUGAACUUGAAAUGGCACUUAUGAUAGUAAACCUCUUUUUUCUAUCCCAACAGGAGGGAUUAUAAUUGAUUAUUUCUCUGGUCACAAUAGAAAUGGCAAAUGUGUGAUUUUGUUGUGAGUUCUUAAGAGUUUUUGUUGUGUACUGUCAGUAACACUGGAAUUAUUAUUAUUACCAAAUGUGAGAAUUGAUUUGAUCAGAAAAAAUAUAUAUUCGUCUUCCAAACAGUGCCAAUAACAAAAUGAAUAAUUAAAAGUGCCAAUUUUUUUACAAGGUUACUUAAAAUCGAUGGCAGAUUGGGGCAUUUGUGAGGAAGUGUUUCUUCACAAAUCGUCUGUAUUCUCGAAUCGACACAAACCGGCCUCCAGCCUUCUCUUAAUUAAUCUCCUCUCCGUCUGACUGCAUGUCCGUCUUUCUGUCUGUCCGUCAAUGCACUGAUUCCAUUACUUUGCCGAGGCCCGUGUUGAUUCAAAACCCAAGCCUACCUGCCGAUCUGAACGCUGUUCUCGCGAGAGGAACGAUCAAACUGUCAUCAUCUCCAUAGCGCAGUGAACCGUUUUGCAACCAAAUUUUGAUUCCUUUCAACAUUCUGUCAUGUGUCAGAGGUCAUGUGUGGUGAAUGUCAGCCAUUUGUACAAUCUGUGGAUUCCAGCAGAAAAAGAUGAAUAUUUUCUGAACUGUUCACAAUGGAAAAAAUAAAAAAGGUCAACUUGUCAAGUGAUGUAAUAAAAUGAUCCCGCUGUAA